rnacentral:tRNA from 1 species
GUGGCUCAGUGGUAGAGCGCCUGCCUUGCAUGCAUGAGGCCCUGGGUUCAAUUCCUCAGC